rnacentral:lncRNA from 1 species
GGAGAGACGCCUCCACCUGGAAUUCUAAUUUCAGGUUCCGUUACUAAGGAAGAGAAGCCACUGACAGCACAGGCCAAGGCAGAGAAUGGCGGAGGAACAGGGUGGUGAAUCCUUAAUUAACAGGAUGCUCAGGGAAGCCAUGCAGGCUGCAUAAAGCUGUUGUGAAAGGCCGCAUUUAGGAUAGAUGCAGCAGCCUCUCAGCGAUAUCACUAACUUCAGGAGGCAGAAAGGCAGUUUCAGAGUUCUAGUCAGUGGUUCUUCAGCACAGACUUGCCUGCAUCUGUGGUUUCGAGGCUCUCCAUGCUGGAAAAAUCUCUGCCAGGACAGCUGGGCCCCACAUCAGCAGACACUCAGGUAGUUCCAUAUCAGUAAUCAAGAGGCAAGAAAACAGCUGACAGAAAUUGGACAUCAGUGUCACCUUACGUAGCAAGAGAGAAUGUUCCCUGGCCCAGGUGAAAAUAAUAAAAGGAAAAUACUGCCACAUGGAGUUGUCGAGCUGCAGCUAAUAUGAAGUAUCUAUAUAAAAAAAAGUCAUCUUUCCAAGUAUACCAUGAAUCUGGACUUCAAUUUCCCACUGAUUUCUUUCCUGCUGCUGACAAUGGUCACAUCACAAAAUCCUGUCUCAUCCACAAUAGGAGGGCUUAAGUUGCAUCACGUUGUCUUCAGAAACUGCAGAGCAUUUGUAGGAUCAACUAACGCAGAAAAAUUAAGUAGAAGUUCAAGGUUAGAUAAAGAACAGGUGAGUGCUCUGGAGGAAAAUAUCAAUCCACAAAUAACCGAGAACAAAACACUGCAGGCACACACUGAGUUACUCUUACCAUCACCGUGGGAAAUGGAAUUGAGGAGAGACGCAUCCACCUUCACUGUCUGCUCUUACCGUCUUAGAUUGGCAAGUUUGAGACCCUGUAAAUGAGUACACGGAAUGAUCAAAAGCAGUUAACAAGGACAUGUUGGUCUCAGAAACACACAGGCUACUUUGGCAUGUGGGAGACUAAGAAUGAAGCCAACAGGAAAAGAAGUAAGAAGUAAAGAUGGGGAUGAAGUCCUGACCGCGCUGUUUGAGCCCCUGACCGAGCUGUACUUCAAACGAGACUAUCCCCUGGACUUUCAAGCAACUUGAGCCGAUAAAUUCCCCUUAUUUUUAAGCCAGGUAGAAUUGGUUUUCUUUCACAUGCAACAGAAAGAAUCCUAAGUGAUAUAUUUAGGAAGUGAGAGGAACUAAACCUGCUAGUUGAAGGCAUCGUCUCUACAGCCAACAAAAGCUCAAGUAGUCAAAUCUGAUAGAUUCACAGCGUGGUCAACGGCGCUCUUCAAUGUCUUUGACUGGAUCUUUCUGUAUUCUUACUUGUGUUCACAAUCAGCCCACAUCUGAUUUUGAUAGAGUCAUUUUUUCUAAAUAUCCCCAAAUAAUCUUUCCCAAUAGAAGGAAUAAAAUAUCUUGAGUUUUAUACACGUGAAUCCCAUAUCUCCAUCUAUUUUUAAGCAUGUCCCUAAGACUCAAAACUCAAAAUUGUUAUUUUAUGAGGAGUCUUAAACAAAAACAAAAACAAAACCUCAAGGGUUUAAUCUGGAAUACUAAUUGGGUUGAAAAUAAACACAAAAAUUCAGCGGC